rnacentral:rRNA from 1 species
UUUAUGGAGAGUUUGAUCCUGGCUCAGGAUGAACGCUGGCGGCGUGCCUAAUACAUGCAAGUCGAGCGAACGGACGAGAAGCUUGCUUCUCUGAUGUUAGCGGCGGACGGGUGAGUAACACGUGGAUAACCUACCUAUAAGACUGGGAUAACUUCGGGAAACCGGAGCUAAUACCGGAUAAUAUUUUGAACCGCAUGGUUCAAAAGUGAAAGACGGUCUUGCUGUCACUUAUAGAUGGAUCCGCGCUGCAUUAGCUAGUUGGUAAGGUAACGGCUUACCAAGGCAACGAUGCAUAGCCGACCUGAGAGGGUGAUCGGCCACACUGGAACUGAGACACGGUCCAGACUCCUACGGGAGGCAGCAGUAGGGAAUCUUCCGCAAUGGGCGAAAGCCUGACGGAGCAACGCCGCGUGAGUGAUGAAGGUCUUCGGAUCGUAAAACUCUGUUAUUAGGGAAGAACAUAUGUGUAAGUAACUGUGCACAUCUUGACGGUACCUAAUCAGAAAGCCACGGCUAACUACGUGCCAGCAGCCGCGGUAAUACGUAGGUGGCAAGCGUUAUCCGGAAUUAUUGGGCGUAAAGCGCGCGUAGGCGGUUUUUUAAGUCUGAUGUGAAAGCCCACGGCUCAACCGUGGAGGGUCAUUGGAAACUGGAAAACUUGAGUGCAGAAGAGGAAAGUGGAAUUCCAUGUGUAGCGGUGAAAUGCGCAGAGAUAUGGAGGAACACCAGUGGCGAAGGCGACUUUCUGGUCUGUAACUGACGCUGAUGUGCGAAAGCGUGGGGAUCAAACAGGAUUAGAUACCCUGGUAGUCCACGCCGCAAACGAUGAGUGCUAAGUGUUAGGGGGUUUCCGCCCCUUAGUGCUGCAGCUAACGCAUUAAGCACUCCGCCUGGGGAGUACGACCGCAAGGUUGAAACUCAAAGGAAUUGACGGGGACCCGCACAAGCGGUGGAGCAUGUGGUUUAAUUCGAAGCAACGCGAAGAACCUUACCAAAUCUUGACAUCCUUUGACAACUCUAGAGAUAGAGCCUUCCCCUUCGGGGGACAAAGUGACAGGUGGUGCAUGGUUGUCGUCAGCUCGUGUCGUGAGAUGUUGGGUUAAGUCCCGCAACGAGCGCAACCCUUAAGCUUAGUUGCCAUCAUUAAGUUGGGCACUCUAAGUUGACUGCCGGUGACAAACCGGAGGAAGGUGGGGAUGACGUCAAAUCAUCAUGCCCCUUAUGAUUUGGGCUACACACGUGCUACAAUGGACAAUACAAAGGGCAGCGAAACCGCGAGGUCAAGCAAAUCCCAUAAAGUUGUUCUCAGUUCGGAUUGUAGUCUGCAACUCGACUACAUGAAGCUGGAAUCGCUAGUAAUCGUAGAUCAGCAUGCUACGGUGAAUACGUUCCCGGGUCUUGUACACACCGCCCGUCACACCACGAGAGUUUGUAACACCCGAAGCCGGUGGAGUAACCUUUUAGGAGCUAGCCGUCGAAGGUGGGACAAAUGAUUGGGGUGAAGUCGUAACAAGGUAGCCGUAUCGGAAGGUGCGGCUGGAUCACCUCCUUU